CAUAGAACCUCCUUGGUCCCUUCUCCAAGGGUGGACCAGGAGGCCCUCACCUGCUCUGCAUCCUGGCAGGGAAAUGUCAUCAGCGGCUGACUCUGCUCUCUGACCCGUGGCCCUGAAUCACCAAAGAAGUGAACACCCCAGGGAGGCUGGUCCCUGCCCACUGGCUGAUCGCUGAGAACAGGUGGGUCCUGAAGGCUGGGCCAGACCUAUUUUUGGGGAGGCGAAGCAAAUCCAAGCCGAGAUGUUGGAGAGAAUUAGAGAAAACACCCCCAUCUCAGCUCCCAUCUGCCAGGCUGGGGCUGGGCACGGCACCACACGAAAGCAGAGCAAGGGGGACUUGACUCAAAGCAAAAUGACCAACCAAGAGGCUGGGAAAAGAGGCGGGUUCAGAUCAGAGCCAGGAGCUCCUGGUGGGGUCAGCAGGGUGUUCAGGAGGCUCGGGCUUCUCUCUGUGAAGGUUUGGGGACCAGAGGGGCCCGGGACAUGGGCAGAGGACAGUGACCUGAGCAGAGUUUGGUGACUUGAGCAGAGGGCAUCUGUUCCUGUCCCUCUCCCGGGGCAGUGAGGCUGGUGCCCCCUGGGCAGCUGAGCUCUGGGCAGGCUCAGGGCCAGUGCGGCCUCUCUGGGCGGGGUUCUCCAGUGCAAGGCAUGUGAGCACAGGCUAGGGGUGGGGCCGUCAAGUUAGGACCAGCAGAUAUGUGUUGCUGCCCCUCCCUGGCCACACCAAGGCUUCGGCACCUUCUUCCCCACCCAUCCAUUCCUCUCCAGCUUCAGUCCUUUACACUGAAGUGGACUUUUAAAAAUAGGUAAAGCACAUGGUACACAGUGGAAAGUUCCCUGUCCUGCCCCGCCCCCCCUUCCCCUCCUCGGGGCAGUAUCUGUGUCCUUACUGGGAUGGUGCAUGGGUAUGCUAGCAUAGAAGUUAAUAUUCUCCCUUUCUGGCUUUUUCUGGUGGCAGAGAUUCCUCUGAGAGUUUGAAAAAACUCACUGAAAUAGGGUAUAUACACACACACACACACAAAUUAGUGUGCAAUUUCAGGGGAUUAUAACACACUCUUGUGGCCCUUUUGAUCCUACUCAGCAAGGAAUUCUGGUUGUGACGUGUCUGGGUCUGAUCCACAUUUUCUCUCCUUAACACUGUUACCCCACAUACACACUUCCCCUGCCUGCCAGGAUUUGACAAGAUUUCAACAAAGGAGAGCUUCUAAGGCCUUGAUGGAGCAGCUUAAGCAAGCAAGCUGUUCAGUGCCUUCUUUCAAAAACUCCGUUAUACUGAGGCCCAAAUAAAAUCUAAACUCUUAGAAUGGCUUGGGAGGCCCUCUACUCGUGGUGUCCCUGAACGUCCCUCCUGGUCCCCUCCAGCCACGAUCACCCUCUGCCCACACAGCUCUGGCCACACCGACCUUUCUGUCACACCCAGGUCUCAGCUCAGGGUCUUUGCUUAAGCUGCUCCCUCUGCUAGGAAAACCAUUUCCCCUGUUGGCUGCAGUGCUGGUUCCUUCUGGUGUCCCUCCCCAGCCACUCUCGUGUGUUCCCCGCUCUCGGCACUCCUUCUCGAGGGCACCAUCCCAUUUCAUUUUCCUCAGUGCGCUUACUCUUCUGAAGCUGUCUGACUUCUGUAGCCAUCUACCGCCCCUGCCACCAGGACACGAGCUCCGGGAAGUCAGAGGCCUUGCGUGUCCCACCUCUAGUGCCCAGAAGGGGGCACUCAGUAAAUGUCUCUGCAUUGACUAAAGAAUCUUGGAGAUCAGAUAUGAAUCGUGACUCAACUCUCCAUCCCAUCAAAGUAGCUCCAGGCCAUCCUUGGCUCCCGCUCUAGGCAAAGUUCCUGCCUCUCCCUCAUUUCUCUAUUCCCAGAUGUCCUACCCUUUUCCCAGAUCUCUGGGGCCCCUCCUUCCCAAUCAGCAUCUAACAAAAACUCUUUUGUGAUUUUAUGCCCGGGGGAUUUAAUCUGAGUCAAUUUGGCAUCUCCAGCCCUGGCUCAGCUGAGUCCAAAGGUCUGAUCAGUGUUUCCAGCGGACCAGCCAGCAACUCUGUCGUCUGAGGGCUCUGAGCUCCACCCCAGUGGGACCAAGGGUACUGAUGAGGCCCGUCCUCGCCUCGCUCCCUGAGCUGCCAUUCCUGGGCCAAUAAACGAAGCCCGAACAAGUGAGAAAAGCAAAGGCUAUUGAUUCAAGAGCUUGCUACAGCAAGGGAAGUCAGUCAGCCAUGGUCACUUGCAUUUUAAAAGAGACUCCAGGGUAGGUGGAGGGGUGGUAAAGCUUUAUUUAUAGCAGAGAAAUGGGAAAGAUUCAGGUACCUGGUGCCUUCUCUGGAGGCUGUUGGCGUGGGGAAGCUGGAAGGCAGGUGACUAGAAGCCAGGCAUCCUGUAUGACUGGUUGGGGGUGCAUAUUUGACUCUCUGGCUGGUCCUAAGUUGCACAGUGGACAAAAGUUAGGGAAGUUGUCAGUUCUGGCCAUUUUGAGCCAACUAUUCUAGAAGUUAGUGGUUAGCUUUCUGAAUUGUUCCUAGACAUAGUCUGACUUGUUACAAACGGGACCUAUGGAUUACCUGGGUGGUUUACUGUAUUUGAGGAGGUGAUUUCCUGGGCGGGUUUCUGCAGGCUGUGGAUGUCCGAGGUCUGUUUUCCCAUAUGGUCUGGCCAUUGUCUGUGUGUUCAGUGCAGAUCAGUGUUUUGGGGACUCCUCCCUCCUUCCCUUGAACAUGGGAACAUCCCGGGCCAGUAGAACCGUCGUCUUUGAUCUCCUCCAUCCUGCAGCUCUCUGGCGAGAGCCUUCGCGGUGCAAAGAAUGGAGAGAGGUGCAGUGAGAGGGGCAAGAAGGCCUGGCGGUGAGGCACACGCACCCACGAGUCGUGUGUUGGGUUCAACGCAGGGAUUCUGAGUUGAGAAGGCUUUAUGAAAGGUGUGGGGUUUCAGGAGUGGGAUUGCUACAGAUGGAAACUGGGGAGAGACAGGGGGGACACUCUUGGAAGGGAAUACGAUGAGGCAGAGGGCAGGUGGAGAGACCUUAGGUUAGUCACUUCCUUUGAGUCUUAAUUCUUCACUGUGUACAGCCUCUGUGAGGCAGACAUGGUGUGCAUGAAGGUGCUGUGAGCUGUGAAGGUUUCAGCAUGAGGGAAGGCUGUGGGAAACACCUGGAAAGGGCCUCUCUUAUCAGAAUAAGGAGGCUGAAUGUACCUAGACAGUGAUAAUAAUAAUGCCAGCAGUGGGGCGCCUGGCUAGCCCAGUCGUAGCACAUGUGACUCUUAAUCUCAGGGUCAUGAGUUCAAGCCCCACGUUGGGCAUGGAGCCUACCUAAAAAAUCAGACAAACAACCAAGCACUUACUGAAUUGGAGUCACUGCUCUAAGCCUGCAGAGAACCCCGGCAACAGUCCCACGAGGCAGUUACUAUUAUUAUCUCCAUAUUACAGGUGAGAUACCUGAGGCACAGAGCAGCUAAGGAGUUUGCCCUGAGUCACACAGUGUCAGAGGGGAGAGAAUGCUUAGAUUGUGUGCUUUGCACAAAUCAGCAGCAGCUGUGUACCCUCAAACGCUGCCUCCUGAUUCAAGGUCUUUGUCCUCGGAUGUGUGUCCCAAUGCAUCAUCAUCAAUCAGCUAUAAUAAAAGUCAGCUUUCACUAAAUACCAGGCAUGGUGCUAAGCAUUUGCAUUUAACUCAUUUAUUUAAAAAAAAUUUAAGUUUUUUUUUUAAUGUUUAUUUAUUUUUUGAGAGAGAGAGACAGAGUGUGAGCAGGGGAGGGCAGAGAGAGAGGGAAACACAGAAUCUGAAUCAGGUUUCAGGCUCUGCACUGUCAGCACAGAGCCUGACAUGGGGCUUGAACUCAUGUACUGUGAGAUCAUGACCUGAGCCAAAGCCAGGCGCUUAACUGACUGAGCCACCGAGGUGCCCCUUUAAAAAAAAUGUUUUAAGUUUAUUUAUUUUGAAAGGGGGGGAGGGACAGAGAAAGAGAGAAUCCCAAGUAGGCUCUGCACCUGCCAGUGCAGAACCCGAUGUGGGGAUCGAACUCAUGAACCAUGGGAUAAUACCCUGAGCUGAAAUCCAGAGUUGGAAGCUUAACUGACUGAGGCACCCAGGUGCCCCUGUACUAACUCAUUUAAUCUUUGUUCCAGGCCUCUGAGGUAAGGAACUGUGAUUAUCGUUUCCACUUUAUGGAGAAGAAAACCAAGGAGUUGCGUGGCAUAGCCCAUGCCUGACUUUGGAGUCUGCACGCCCACCACUGUACCACACGGCCUCUCUUCAAUAAGCAAGGGCUGGGACUACUCACCACUCAAGCCCUGAUCCACACAGUGGUCCGUGCCUAGGAGCCAACUCCACAUCAGUGGUUCUUGCCUUUCUCGAUCACAGACCCCUUUAACACUCGCCCCAGGAAAAUGUGUGCAUGCACACACACUCACACCCCUUAAGAAAUUCACAGAUCCCCCCCCUCCUCAAGCCUUUCCAGGGCAAGUGGGUGAUGGGAAAGACUUCUGGGGUGAGUGUUUCAGCCGGGGGAUAUUCUCCAGUCUGGAACAAAAGAGCAUGGCUUUGAAUUUUAAGAGAUUUACUUUAUUGAGAGAGUGAAAAGUCAGGGGCGCCUGGGUGGCUCAGUCGGUUAAGCACUCUUCGUUUGGGCUCAGGUCACGAUCUCACCUUGGUGAGACUGAGACCGGCAUUGGGAUUGUCUCUUUUUCUCCUUCUUCCUCUGCCCCUCCCCUACUCACACACAUGCGUGCACACACUCUCUCUCCCUCUCAAAAUAAAAUAAACAAACAUAAAAAUUAAAAAAUGAAAUUCCAAGGGCGCCAGUGGGCGCGGAGCCUGCUUGCGAU
rnacentral:lncRNA from 1 species